UACUUAGGGAUCUGUCCUUCGGAGGGGAGUAACCAUUGGAAACGAUGGCUAAUACCGCAUAACGUCUACGGACCAAAGGGGGCGUUCGGCUCUCACCGAGGGAGGAACCUAAGCGAGAUUAGCUAGUUGGUGAGGUAAAGGCUCACCAAGGCGACGAUCUCUAGCUGUUCUGAGAGGAAGAUCAGCCACACUGGGACCGAGACACGGCCCAGACUCCUACGGGAGGCAGCAGUGGGGAAUAUUGCACAAUGGGGGAAACCCUGAUGCAGCCAUGCCGCGUGUGUGAAGAAGGCCUCGGUU
rnacentral:rRNA from 1 species